CAGUGAAGUGCAGCAUGUGACCCCUGAUGAAGAGAGCUUAUCUUCCAUAUCUGUCAAUAUCAGUUGUCCACAAGGAUGUCCUCGUACAUUUGCCAAUUCCUCUGCCCUCAGACUACAUUUAAGUCAGAACGCAGGACCGGCCCGCCCUGGGUGACGUUCCAGAACGCGUGCCUUUUCCCGCCACCGUUUGAAUGCCCAUUGCAGGUUAACAGGUACCAGCGUGACUAUUUGUCUGUCACAGCACACGGCGGGGAGCGUGGGUGGACUCAGAGCGGUCAGUAACCAUUCCCCUGUCGUCAUGGAGAGUCGCCCCUCAACCUCCCGUGCCAUUUCAACCCCAAUCAAGCGUCGCAGCCACCGUGGGUUGGAUGAUUGUGAGAUACAAACAGAACUAUAUGAUGUAAGUGCUGUAUUGUGUGAUUCUGGUGAAAGUGGUGAUGAAGUCAGUGCUUAUAUGCCUAGUGAUCCUGAGGAUAGCGUCGAGUUAGACGAUGUUUUAGGGACAAGUGGUGAUGAGGGCGAGGUACAGCCAGCGCGGUGUAGGCCCGCCACGCGUUCACAGCCCAGACAAGGAACAAAGGAUGUUUUUGUUUGGUCUGAUGGCAGCAAUUUCCAGCCUGACAUCCCUGAUUUCAGACGCUCAUCAGGUGGAAUUACUCCUGAAUUUCCUUGUACAGAGGAAUCAAGUGAGAUGGACUACUUUUGUGCCUUCUUUGAUGGUGCAUUCAUGGACUUACUGUGUACUGAAACAAAUAAAUUUUAUCAGCACAUGUGUGAAGCUGACCCCCGCCCUGGCCCCUCGCCAAAAAUGCGCCGAUGGACUGAUGUUGUUGUGUCUGAAUUAUAUGUGUUUUUUGCAUUACUAAUGCUAAUGGCACAUGUGAAAAAACACGUACUUCAGGAGUAUUGGAUAUCUUAUGAUGACAUCACAGCAACUCCAUUGUUUUCGAAAUUCAUGUCAAGAGACCGGUUUGCCUCCAUCCUGUGUUAUCUACACUUCAUGGACAACAACAAACCUGUGGCCGGUGACCCACUCUGGAAAAUAAGGACAGUUUUUAUGAUGCUGAAGGAACGAUUCAUGAAGUUCUUCAAACCCUUUCAGAAUGUAGUGGUGGACGAGUCUCUGGUGCUUUUCAGAGGACGUGUUGUUUUUCGACAAUACAUUCCCUCCAAACAACAUCGCUUUGAGAUAAAGUUCUUCGUGCUGUGUGACUGCGAGACUGGAUAUGUCUUAGAUCUCAUAGUUUACACAGCAAGUGAUGUAGACAUACCCAAGGAUGAUCCACAUGGUUUCUCUGGUGCUGUUGUCAAGAAACUUAUGGACCGCUACUUUGGAGGGAAUCAUGUCCUCUACAUGGACAAUUAUUAUACCUCUCCUGCCCUGGCCAAGUUCCUACUUGAACAUGACAUCGGUUCUUGUGGGACAGUACGUAAAAACAGGAAACACUGGCCCAUGUUUCCUGGUAAACCUGCAAGAGGAGACAUCCAGCUAAAGCAAGCAGACAAGUUGCUUGCAAUACGUUGGCAUGAUAAGCGUACUGUGCAGAUGCUGUCAACCGUUCACAAGGGCAUAAUGGUGGACAGUGGCAAAACGGACAGGGCAACAGGAGAGGUAGUAAAAAAACCUGACGCUGUCGUGGACUACAAUGUCAACAUGCACUUCAUGGACAAGAGUGACAUGCAGGUUGGCGCAGUUGAGUGUGUACGGAAAUGUCUCAAGUGGUAUGUGAAGAUGUUCCUACAUCUCUUGGACAUCACCAUCCUGAAUGCGUACAACUUGUACCUUGUAAAAUCCGGGAAAAAACCCUCUCUUAGGGUUUUUCAGAAGCAAGUGACAAAUCAACUCCUGGAGAAAUAUGGCAACAUUGUGGCAGCUGUACCACGACGUCGAAGCCAAGCAAGACUCCCUGACAGACUCCUUGCAUGUGACUGGGUUACUCGUCACUACCUGGAUGGCCUUCCGACUCUUCCAAGUGGUCGUAGGAUGCAAAAGAGGUGUUACGUCUGCAGGAACACCACAAAGCGCCCAGCAAAACGUAAGGAUGUGACGACGUGGUGCAAGGAGUGCGACAUUGGUCUCUGUGCACCUUGCUUCAUGGAGUACCACACAAAGAAAAUAUUCUAAAACAAUGUGGCACGUGAGGAGUGCUUGUAAAUAGUUUAAAUGUAAUGUAAGUGUAUUUGUAAGGUACAAAGUGACAUUUGUGUAAAAGGUACACAGUUGUACGCAUUCACUCACCACUACCCACAAGCAAAAGGAGGCGCCUCGUCAGGGUAGCACAAACACCACCGCUACCUAUCACCACCACCUCUCCUCCUGCGAUCAAAGGGAAGCUGCUUGGUGCACCAUCUGGAAACUGGGAGUAAUGUUGCCCCGAUCCCUGGAACUAUAUGGUAUCACUGUCCUGUGACUUCCUGUGUAUACCACAUUGACUUUGGUGUUAAUGGGAGACAUUUUCCAAAGUUGAAGUACCUU
rnacentral:misc_RNA from 1 species